CGCUUUCGUCGCACUCGGACCGGGCUUUAUUCCUUUGGUAUUCUUCGGUAUGGUUCAGCCGACUACCCUAAAGAAAAAGCAUUCCCUGGUGGGGAAAAGUUUGCUGCCGCUGUUCGCACGGUUCAAUGGUAGCCCUGAUGAGCCCAGAGAGUUGGCUAGGAUGGACAAGGAUCAACCUUUUGGAGAAUCUGGAUUCCGAUGGUAUCGCCACAGCCUUCAAGAAACUCACCGGAGAAAACAUCGGAGACGUCCUUGCCGCCCUCGGCAAACAAAGUGGAGCUGGAGUGGCUUUAUUGCACCAUGCAAUUGUGCUAGCGAACGAAAUCGGCCAGCCAGUAGGGCAGCCCCUUAGGGACCCGCCCAUCACUCCACCGGGUGUUUCGGAUGAUGUAAGUGAGCCACCGAGGAAGGUGCAGAGGAUAGCGUGCCAGGCGACCGUAGCUGAUCCAGUGCAGAAGGCAAAGGCGAAGGUGAGGUCCUUGGCAUUACAUGAAGAGCCCAAUGAGUCGUUGAUGUUGCUGUACCUGGAGGAUUUAGCGGCGGCUGCUACUUCUGUUUCGCAUAAGGACAUGGAGUUGUUCGACGAUUUAUAUCGUCAGGCAAGGCGUUACCAAGGAAAGGUGGACAUGGCUAAUGUUAUCUUGACGGUGUUGGGUGGUGGUACGGGUGAGCUUAUCACCAAGGCCAUUAGUAAGUCGCUAAAAAAGGUAGUCGAACCGAAGCCGAUUGAAACCGUGAAACCUGAAGAGAGCCCAAACCCAAGCCCGUCCAUUCAACAUAGGUCACCUUUAACGGAUUUGUAUAGCCAGGUUGCUGCGGUUGCAUCUUUGCAGCAGAUGAUGAAUCCGCUCUUUGAUUCCUAUAGGGGUGGGGCGUCAAGAGGUGCCCGGCGCGGCAGGGGUAGGGGAACGGAUUCCUCUCCUCCAAAUAAUUAUCAAUGUUAUUUUUGUAACUCACCAGAUCAUUUUUAUCGUGAUUGCGAUAAAAUGAAAGAGGCAUCGAAGAUGGCAAAAACGAAGUAGGUCCCCUCCCGGAGCAUUCUGCUCUAGUGGAGAUUUACAUCUUCACGUGGGUGGGGGGCCGGGCUUCGCGUCCGUCGGAUUUGUCUGCUGCGACUUUUAAAGCUACUGCUCUCUUUGUUUUAGGGUAUGGACAUUUUGGGUUACGAAAUCCAGGAUUGGUAAUUCCAGAUUCCGUUUGAUCCGCAGAGAGCAGUAGCAUCCAAGCAUCUGUCGCCGCAGUGGACAACUCUGGAUGGGCGUGAACCUCGGCUUUCCACCCACCAAUGCCCGGAUUUUGAAAGCGUUAUAAAUGACGGUAUGGCGAGUCGGCGGCGUCUUUUGUCGGGCAUCGAUUUGCAGGGCAUAAACAAUCGUUUGGAUAUCUUGGAUGAGCGACACUUGAACUCCGAAAUGGUUAAAAGGAAAACGAGUGGGCA